AUGCCCCUUCACGGUAGCCUAGGGGCCCCUCUCCCUGCUGAUGGAGAGUCACAGCCCCAGAGAGUGGGCACACGGGGCACCCCAGCCCAGAGUGAAGGGCCAGUCCUGGCUUCUGUGUUCUUAGGGGUUCAGAGGGGCCCCGGCUUCUCUCCCUGCAGGGAGGGUCAGGCGGGGCUGCUGCCCGGUGGUCUGGGCUCAGAGCCUGUGGGCAGUUUCCUGAGUAGACUGGAGGGGACCCCACCCCUCAGUCUGGAGUCCCCAUGGCCCCGCCCCAAAGAGCGAGGCCUGAGCCCCUGUUCAGGCUCAGGAGCCUCUUCGGCAGAAGAAUCCGCUGUCUCCCUCCUCCAGCAUCCACUGCACUCCCUUCUGCUGGGUGCAAGGAGCAGCCACAGGGAGCAGGGCCUGAGGCUCCUUCCUAGGAAGAUGCAGGGCGCCAUGGGUCACGUCACAGCCGCACUGGACAUCUGUAACAUUGAGCCACAAAGGAGCGCACCGAUCCCCACCAGAAAGACCCCGAGCCAGGAGAAAGAGUGCAGGGGAUGUCGGAAUAUUUGGAGCCAAGCGUUACCAGGUGAAUUGUAACCGAGACCAAAAGAUAUUCGAACAAGCCGGGAAGACUGGACACAGGCGCCACGCGGGGCGGUGGUGGGGCUUGGGGUGCGCCGUGCGCGGCUCUGAGGGGCCGAGUUCCCAGCCCGCUGCCCCUCACAAUUGUCUCACUGUGCUUUUCUCCGCGUCCUGCUUCUUUCAUUCCCUGCUCUGCACAAGAGUUGUAUUCAGUGAACCUAUAGGGAAGAAAAAGCAAACAUAUAACUUUUUCCAUAAGGAAACUCGUGGGAGGUGGGCUCUGGCCUUGCGGAAUGACCGCGGCGGUGUUAUGUUUCUGUCGCUUCUCCCGCGCUUCUAACUCAAGCAGUUAGACCGGCACCUACUGAGCACCUACUAAGGGCCCGGCUCCUCUGGGUGCCGGGGGAGGGGGCGGGUAAGAGGCGCUGCACACAAACUCCUUCCCCCACGGAGUUGCCUCCUAGUGGAGAAGACACCUUCACGGAGGCGUGGAGCGGAACAAUCAGACAAGGGGCCAAAGGCUUUUGCAGGUCAGCAACGGGAGGGAAGGGUGAGAAGGAUCCCGCUGUGGGCCCAAGAAAGACCUCUCCUUCCGGCCUCCCCUCCUAUUGGGGUCUUAGUUGGGGCGCUCUCACCUGAGCCCGGCCCUGAGCAGGGACCUCCAGAAACCCCCACCCGCCAAGGUGCGAAACACUAAGUCUGAACCUUUGUUUUUGCAGCUAUAGAGUUUCCUCGUGCCUUCAGAAGCCCCGGGAAAGUAUUUGUUGAACAAGAGCAUUCAGUUAUUUCCCAGUCUUUCCCGCCC
rnacentral:lncRNA from 1 species